UCCAUAUCGAAACGAACAAAGGAAAAAAAAAACAGAGAAGAUUCGCAUGGUCCUUGUGGAAGGAUGACAUGCACAUUUGUGAAGCAUUCCGUAUUUUA
rnacentral:snRNA from 1 species